rnacentral:lncRNA from 1 species
GGAAAAGAACACUGGUACAGAGGACUCGCAAAUAAAGGUCGACAGCCAUAUAUUCUAAGCAGUUCUGCCCAGUGAAGUAAUACAACAGAGUGUCAGUUUGCAAGGGCUUCCCAGAAAUGUACAUGAUUUCUGCCUGCACCAACAUUCUUGGACGCUGUGGUUAGAGCUGACAGUGGACAAGGCCAGGAGAGCACAUUGGUGAAGUCUGCUAAGGUAGGUGGUGAGGUA